CUAUUGUUGAGAAUCAAGGAUUCGAAGAUGCCAAUUUCGAAAGUAUUUGUCGUCUUUAUGAAAUCGGUCGCAUAAAAUGUGAAGAAGGAGAUGAUGAUGAUGAUGAUGAUGAUGAUGAUGACGAUGACGAUGAUGAUGAAUUGCAGAGUGAAGAUUAAGUUGAUGAUUUGGCUGACUUUAUUGUUGAUGACGACGACACUGUACUAAGAGACCUGGGUGACAUAUCAAGACAGAAUAGUAAUAGUGAGAAUGAUAACGGAUUACUUGAUUCAUAUGAUGAAAAUAAUACAAUCAAUAGUCAUAUAGAUGAUGAUUUGGGUCACAUCAUUAAUGGUGACAUAAGCAGCAGUGAGGACAAUGACGUGAUGGUCAACAACAGUGACAGUGAACUUGAUGCCAGUAUGACAUUUUUCUUGCUCAUUCCAGUGAUUCUACUGAUUUGUCGUCCUCUGAAAUGUCUGAUUAAAUGAUGUUUUUGA